CCUACGGGCGGCAGCAGUGAGGAAUAUUGGUCAAUGGGCGCGAGCCUGAACCAGCCAAGUAGCGUGAAGGAUGACUGCCCUACGGGUUGUAAACUUCUUUUAUAAAGGAAUAAAGUGAGGCACGUGUGCCUUUUUGUAUGUACUUUAUGAAUAAGGAUAGGCUAACUCAGUGCCAGCAGCCGCGGUAAGACGGAGGAUCCGAGCGUUAUCCGGAUUUAUUGGGGUUAAAGGGAGCGUAGAUGGGGUGUUAAGUCAGUUGUGAAAGUUUGCGGCUCAACCGUAAAAUUGCAAUUGAUACUGGCAGCCUUGAGUACAGUUGAGGUAGGCGGAAUUCGUGGUGUAGCGUUGAAAUGCUUAGAUAUCACGAAGAACUCCGAUUGCGAAGGCAGCUUACUAAACUUCCACUGACAUUGAUGCUCGAAAGUUUGGGUAUCAAACAGGAUUAGAUACCCGUGUAGUC
rnacentral:rRNA from 1 species